rnacentral:rRNA from 1 species
AGAUAUUGGAAUCUAGUGAUUAUUUACUAACUUCCAGCUUCUAACCUCUAAGUAUCUAAUCGUUAGUGGCGGACGGGUGAGUAACACGUUGGAACCUGCCCCAAAGUAAGGGAUAAGCCACCGAAAGGUGGUCUAAUACCUUAUAGUAUCCAUCUCGUAUGGAUUAAAGCUUUAUGCGCUUUGGGAGGGGCCUGCGUUUGAUUAGCUAGUUGGUGAGGUAAAAGCUCACCAAGGCGACGAUCAAUAGCUGGUUUGAGAGGAUGACCAGCCACACUGGGACUGAGAUACGGCCCAGACUCCUACGGGAGGCAGCAGUAAGGAAUCUUCCACAAUGGGGCAACCCUGAUGGAGCAAUACCGCGUGCAGGAUGAAGCGUUUCGGCGUGUAAACUGCUUUUAUCACCGAAGAUUAUGACUGUAGGUGAAGAAUAAGGACCGGCUAACUACGUG